UAGGCCGGGAACUCAAAGGAGACUGCCAGUGAUAAACUGGAGGAAGGUGGGGAUGACGUCAAGUCAUCAUGGCCCUUACGACCAGGGCUACACACGUGCUACAAUGGCAUAUACAAAGAGAAGCGACCUCGCGAGAGCAAGCGGACCUCAUAAAGUAUGUCGUAGUCCGGAUUGGAGUCUGCAACUCGACUCCAUGAAGUCGGAAUCGCUAGUAAUCGUAGAUCAGAAUGCUACGGUGAAUACGUUCCCGGGCCUUGUACACACCGCCCGUCACACCAUGGGAGUGGGUUGCAAAAGAAGUAGGUAGCUUAACCUUCGGGAGGGCGCUUACCACUUUGUGAUUCAUGACUGGGGUGAAGUCGUAACAAGGUAACCGUAGGGGAACCUGCGGUUGGAUCACCUCCUU
rnacentral:rRNA from 1 species